rnacentral:rRNA from 1 species
AAUAGCUCCUGGAAACGGGUGGUAAUGCCGAAUGUGCCCUUCGGGGGAAAGAUUUAUCGCCUUUAAAGCGGCCCGCGUCUGAUUACUCUAGUUGGUGAGGUAACGGCUCACCAAGGCGACUAUCAGUAGCUGGUCUGAUAGGAUGACCAGCCACACUGGGACUGAUACACGGCCCAAACUCCUACGGGAGGCAUCAGUGGGGAAUCUUGCGCAAUGGGCGAAAGCCUGACGCAACCAUGCCGCGUGAAUGAUGAAGGUCUUAGGAUUGUAAAAUUCUUUCACCGGGGACGAUAAUGACGGUACCCGGAUAAGAAGCCCCGGCUAACUUCGUGCCAGCAGCCGCGGUAAUACGAAGGGGGCUAGCGUUGCUCGGAAUUACUGGGCGUAAAGGGCGCGUAGGCGGAUCGUUAAGUCAGAGGUGAAAUCCCAGGGCUCAGCCCUGGAACUGCCUUUGAUACUGGCGAUCUUGAGUAUGAGAGAGGUAUGUGGAACUCCGAGUGUAGAGGUGAAAUUCGUACAUAUUCGGAAGAACACCAGUGGCGAAGGCGACAUACUGGCUCAUUACUGACGCUGAAGCUCUAAAGCCUGGGGAGCAAACAGGAUUAGAUACCCUGGUAGUCCACGCCGUAAACGAUGAUUGCUAGUUGUCGGGCUGCAUGCAGUUCGGUGACGCAGCUAACGCAUUAAGCAAUCCGCCUGGGGAGUACGGUCGCAAGAUUAAAACUCAAAGGA